AGUAACGCGUGGGUAACCUGCCUCAUACAGGGGGAUAACAGUUAGAAAUGACUGCUAAUACCGCAUAAGCGCACAGUGCUGCAUGGCACAGUGUGAAAAACUCCGGUGGUAUGAGAUGGACCCGCGUCUGAUUAGGUAGUUGGUGGGGUAACGGCCUACCAAGCCGACGAUCAGUAGCCGACCUGAGAGGGUGACCGGCCACAUUGGGACUGAGACACGGCCCAA
rnacentral:rRNA from 1 species